UAUAAAAGGGCCAAAGGUCGGUGAGAGGAGGGUAUUUUCUCCUCCACUUGCAGCCAGAGGUUUUAAGCAAAAGAGCAAAGUUUGGAAGUUUGGAGCUUUGGAAGCUUGGUUCUUCAUAACUCUACGUUGGGAUCGUCUAAUCUCUUGUUUGGAAGAGGAACGGACCAGAGGAACCCCAGAGAGCAGCAGUGAGUACAGGGUCAGAACCUGCAGAGUUA